rnacentral:rRNA from 1 species
CAUCCGCCGCGGUAAUACGGAGGGUGCAAGCGUUAAUCGGAAUUACUGGGCGUAAAGCGCACGCAGGCGGUCUGACAAGUCAGAUGUGAAAUCCCCGGGCUUAACCUGGGAACUGCAUUUGAAACUGUCAGGCUGGAGUCUUGUAGAGGGGGGUAGAAUUCCAGGUGUAGCGGUGAAAUGCGUAGAGAUCUGGAGGAAUACCGGUGGCGAAGGCGGCCCCCUGGACAAAGACUGACGCUCAGGUGCGAAAGCGUGGGGAGCAAACAGGAUUAGAGACCCCUGUAGUCCCUGUCUCUUAUAC